UACAGAGGUCUCAAGCGUUGUUCGGAUUCAUUGGGCGUAAAGGGUGCGUAGGCGGCGCGGUAAGUCGGGUGUGAAAUCUUGGAGCUUAACUCCGAAACUGCAUUCGAUACUGCCGUGCUUGAGGACUGGAGAGGAGACUGGAAUUUACGGUGUAGCGGUGAAAUGCGUAGGAUAUCGUAAGGAAGACCAGUGGCGAAGGCGGGUCUCUGGACAGUUCCUGACGCUGAGGCACGAAGGUCAGGGGAGCAAACGGG
rnacentral:rRNA from 1 species